UACGUAGAUGGCAAGCGUUGUCCGGAUUUAUUGGGUUUAAAGGGUGCGUAGGCGGCCUUGUAAGUCAGUGCUGAAAUAUCCCGGCUUAACCGGGAGGGUGGCAUUGAUACUGCAGGGCUUGAGUAAAGUUGAGGUUGGCGGAAUUGACGGUGUAGCGGUGAAAUGCUUAGAUAUCGUCAAGAACACCGAUAGUGAAGACAGCUAACUAAGCUUUAACUGACGCUGAGGCACGAAAGUGUGGGGAUCAAACAGG
rnacentral:rRNA from 1 species